ensembl:snoRNA
UGCCUGUGACGACUUGCCAUGCUAAUACCGACCCCCCCAGCAGCACUUAGCUCUGCGCUGGCAGGGAAUGAGUUCAACUUGCUCCUCAUGGAGCUCUGAGGCAC